rnacentral:rRNA from 1 species
AGUUACCAGCACAUAAUGGUGGGGCAACUCUAAGGAGACUGCCGGUGACAAACCGGAGGAAGGUGGGGAUGACGUCAAGUCAUCAUGGCCCUUACGGCCAGGGCUACACACGUGCUACAAUGGGGGGUACAAAGGGUUGCCAAGCCGCGAGGUGGAGCUAAUCCCAUAAAACCUCUCGUAGUCCGGAUCGGAGUCUGCAACUCGACUCCGUGAAGUCGGAAUCGCUAGUAAUCGUGGAUCAGAACGCCACGGUGAAUACCGUUCCCGGGCCUU